CGCCGGGGACUGGGCCGCCCUGCUGCCAUCUUGGUCCGUGCGCGCUCCCGCGCCUGGGUGGGCACGUCGGUAUCAGGCCCUGAGGGGAUGGCGCCGCGUGCCGCCGGUUUGUCUUCCCUGGGGAGUUUGUCUCCCGUUGCACUGGAGGUGGUGUCGCAGUCUCCCGAUGCCAGGUGUGCUGGUCGAGCACGAAGGUUAUUCCCAUGGGCCCCAUCGCUGCUACCCACGCCGCGAAGGUGAAAGGGUGAGGAGGGCGGUGUGUGAGGGGCUGCUCCUUCCCGGUCCCUAGGAGCAGAGGCGAGGGUGCCGGCGCUCCAGGGAGGCUGGUGCCGGGCUGAGGCAGCGCGGCUUGCCGCGCAUCCGCACUCUGGCGAGGGGAGCUUCGGAUCUCCACUUUACAAACAAAACUGAUGGUUUCAUACUGUAUUUAUGUGUAACAAUAUAGCUCAUGUAUAUAAGAGAGAAUCACAAUCAUGGAGUGGUAGAGGUUGGAAGGGAGCUUUAGGGAUCAGAGUUCAAACCCCUGCUAAAGCAGGUUCACCUCUAUCAGGUAACAUGGGAACGCAUCCAGGAUGGUUUGGAAACUUCCAGAGGAGACUCCACAACCUCCCUGGGCACCCUGUGCUGGGACUGCCUGACAAUAAAGAAAUUUUUCCUUGUG